rnacentral:rRNA from 1 species
GACGAACGCUGGCGGCGUGCUUAACACAUGCAAGUCGAACGGAAAGGCCCUGCUUUUGUGGGGUGCUCGAGUGGCGAACGGGUGAGUAACACGUGAGUAACCUGCCCUUGACUUUGGGAUAACUUCAGGAAACUGGGGCUAAUACCGGAUAGGAGCUCCUGCUGCAUGGUGGGGGUUGGAAAGUUUCGGCGGUUGGGGAUGGACUCGCGGCUUAUCAGCUUGUUGGUGGGGUAGUGGCUUACCAAGGCUUUGACGGGUGGCCGGCCUGAGAGGGUGACCGGCCACAUUGGGACUGAGAUACGGCCCAGACUCCUACGGGAGGCAGCAGUGGGGAAUAUUGCACAAUGGGCGGAAGCCUGAUGCAGCAACGCCGCGUGCGGGAUGACGGCCUUCGGGUUGUAAACCGCUUUCGCCUGUGACGAAGCGUGAGUGACGGUAAUGGGUAAAGAAGCACCGGCUACUACGUG